CUCUCCCCAUUGCCGCCCUCCCCCCCACAGUCUAGUUCACUGGGGGUUCAGUCUUAGCAGGACCCAGGGCUUCCCCUUCCACUGGUGAUCUUACUAGGAUAUUCAUUACUACCUAUGAGAUCAGAGUCCAGGUCAAGUGUGUGUCUUGAAGAUAUGACUCACUGCUGAGAAGAUGUAGGAGGUGAAACAGCUGCUGCCCAGAGUCUUUGUUCACAGGUACACAAAGCUAAAACACAGGAUUUGGAAGCCUCAUCUACAUCUCCAGAAUUUAAGUUUGCCCAAGAGCGACCAUUCUCCCAGGCAUGAUGAUAAUAGAUUAAACCUCUGAAAGGUUUUUCAGGAGCUUUUGAUGUCUACCACCCACUGGUCUAAGGCUUGGAGAUGGUUACUGAGGAUCUUGGACAAGUCUGGGAGCACUUUGGGAAUGGAAAACCAUAAUCAGAUGAUAAAUUACAUGAAAAAUUUAUUGAAAAACAUAAGACAGAAGAGGAUUCACUCUUUGGAUGGACUCAAAAUUAAUUUUAGCACAUUUCUUGUAUUCUCUAUCAAAUCAUGAUUAAAGAACAA